CCUACGGGAGGCAGCAGUAGGGAAUCUUCCACAAUGGGCGCAAGCCUGAUGGAGCAACACCGCGUGAGUGAAGAAGGGUUUCGGCUCGUAAAGCUCUGUUGUUGGAGAAGAACGUGCGUGAGAGUAACUGUUCACGCAGUGACGGUACCCAACCAGAAAGUCACGGCUAACUACGUGCCAGCAGCCGCGGUAAUACGUAGGUGGCAAGCAUUAUCCGGAUUUAUUGGGCGUAAAGCGAGCGCAGGCGGUUGCUGAGGUCGGAUGUGAAAGCCUGCGGCUUAACCGAAGAAGUGCAUCGGAAACCGGUCGACUUGAGUGCAGAAGAGGACAGUGGAACUCCAGGUGUAGCGGUGGAAUGCGUAGAUAUAUGGAAGAACACCAGUGGCGAAGGCGGCUGUCUGGUCUGCAACUGACGCUGAGGCACGAAGGCCAGGGGAGCGAAAGGGAUUAGAUACCCGGGUAGUC
rnacentral:rRNA from 1 species